GACAAAACUGACAGUUAACCUCACGCAAGGCCAUUUGAAUAUUCAAACGACCUUCGCCUGACGAUCAACACACGGUGCUAUGCGGUCUGAACAAGGGUCUGAACCAAGGAAUAGAAUCCUUAGUCUGAAGCUGCUGAGUUAGCUGAUCUGAAAACCAAAACACUGCUUGGUUGUCAUCCAAGGAAGACUCUCUUAAGCUUUCUUGUUGUCAUCCGACCGACUGUCAGAUAGCCGGACGGACCACAAUCUUACCAUACACAGUCCAAUUUGGUCGGAUCCGAUUGAUCUGUUCGCUGGUCUCAGGCCAAAUCGCACCGUAUACGGGGGCUUUUAGAGGAACAGCCGCCAUGAUGUAAACAUUCGCGCAGUGUGUGUGUGUGGUGUGGAGCGUGGUAUCCACUUCUCACUAAAAUAUUAACUGUAAACGUAAACUUGACAGCCAGUACGUGACGAUUUAUGUAUAUAUUUGUUAGUGUGAAGCGUGCAGUGUGCGUCACUGAACAGUGUGGAUUGGCGGAGUUGCUGAGGAGCGGACGCUGGACAGGACAGGACAGGACACGAUGGCUAAGUGUUGCUGAUGACGGGUGUGCGGCAGAGAGAAAGGCACAGCAGGAGUUAAAAAUGAAGAGAUAACUCCCCAAAGUUCAUCGGUCUUCUGCUUAUGGAGGAUGAUAAGAUGCAGAAAUACAGUGGAACAGGGUAAAAGCUGAUGGAGACGAGAGAAAACAAAAAAAGCUGGUGUGAUGGCGCCUAACUUCUGGUAGUGUGAGGAAGAGAGAUGCAGUCCAGCCACAUAGACCAAUU